rnacentral:rRNA from 1 species
GACGAACGCUGGCGGCGUGCUUAACACAUGCAAGUCGAACGGAAAGGCCCUGCUUUUGUGGGGUGCUCGAGUGGCGAACGGGUGAGUAACACGUGAGUAACCUGCCCUUGACUUUGGGAUAACUUCAGGAAACUGGGGCUAAUACCGGAUAGGAGCUCCUGCUGCAUGGUGGGGGUUGGAAAGUUUCGGCGGUUGGGGGUGGACUCGCGGCUUAUCAGCUUGUUGGUGGGGUAGUGGCUUACCAAGGCUUUGACGGGUAGCCGGCCUGAGAGGGUGACCGGCCACAUUGGGACUGAGAUACGGCCCAGACUCCUACGGGAGGCAGCAGUGGGGAAUAUUGCACAAUGGGCGGAAGCCUGAUGCAGUAACGCCGCGUGCGGGAUGACGGCCUUCGGGUUGUAAACCGCUUUCGCCUGUGACGAAGCGUGAGUGACGGUAAUGGGUAAAGAAGCACCGGCUAACUACGUG